UCCUGGUUCUGCUUCCGGCGCGGGAGGUAGGGCCACGUCAUCUUCGGGCUCCCAGUGCCAGCCGGGCAGUGGAUGGUGGGAAGCAAGAUGGCGGCCACGGCCAGCAUUCGGGAGAGGCAAACAGUGGCUCUGAAGCGGAUGUUGAAUUUCAAUGUGCCUCAUGUUAAAAACAGUACUGGAGAACCAGUAUGGAAGGUACUCAUUUAUGACAGAUUUGGCCAAGAUAUCAUCUCUCCUCUGCUGUCUGUGAAGGAACUGAGAGACAUGGGCAUCACUCUGCAUCUCCUUUUGCACUCAGACCGAGAUCCGAUUCCAGAUGUUCCUGCAGUGUACUUUGUGAUGCCAACCGAAGAAAAUAUUGACAGACUGUGCCAGGAUCUUCGAAAUCAGCUCUAUGAAUCCUAUUAUUUAAAUUUUAUUUCUGCGAUUUCAAGAAGUAAACUGGAAGACAUUGCGAAUGCAGCAUUGGCCGCUAGUGCAGUCACACAAGUUGCCAAGGUUUUUGACCAGUAUCUCAAUUUUAUUACUUUGGAAGAUGACAUGUUUGUAUUAUGUAAUCAAAAUAAGGAACUUGUUUCAUAUCGUGCCAUUAACAGGCCAGACAUCACAGACACAGAGAUGGAAACUGUUAUGGACACUAUUGUGGACAGCCUCUUCUGCUUUUUUGUUACAUUAGGUGCUGUUCCCAUCAUCCGAUGCUCAAGAGGAACGGCGGCAGAAAUGGUGGCAGUGAAACUAGAUAAAAAACUUCGGGAAAAUCUAAGAGAUGCAAGAAACAGCCUUUUCACCGGUGAUCCACUUGGAACUGGCCAGUUCAGCUUCCAAAGGCCUUUAUUAGUCCUUGUUGACAGAAACAUUGACCUGGCAACGCCUUUACACCAUACGUGGACAUACCAAGCGCUGGUACACGAUGUGCUGGAUUUCCACUUAAACAGAGUAAAUUUGGAAGAAUCUACAGGAGUGGAAAACUCUCCAGCUGGUGCUAGACCAAAGAGGAAAAACAAGAAGUCUUACGACUUAACUCCAGUUGAUAAAUUCUGGCAGAAGCAUAAAGGAAGUCCAUUCCCAGAAGUCGCAGAAUCAGUCCAACAAGAACUAGAAUCUUACAGAGCACAAGAAGAUGAGGUCAAACGACUGAAGAGCAUUAUGGGACUAGAAGGAGAGGAUGAAGGGGCCAUCAGCAUGCUUUCUGAUAACACUGCUAAGCUCACAUCAGCUGUCAGUUCUUUGCCAGAACUCCUUGAAAAAAAAAGACUUAUUGAUCUGCACACAAAUGUUGCCACUGCUGUUUUAGAACACAUAAAGGCAAGAAAACUGGAUGUAUAUUUUGAAUAUGAAGAAAAAAUAAUGAGCAAGACUACUCUGGAUAAGUCCCUCCUAGACGUCAUAUCCGACCCUGAUGCAGGGACUCCGGAAGACAAAAUGAGGCUGUUUCUUAUCUAUUACAUAAGCGCACAGCAAGCACCGUCCGAGGUUGAUUUGGAGCAGUAUAAAAAGGCUUUAACAGAUGCAGGCUGCAACCUUAGCCCUUUACAGUAUAUCAAGCAGUGGAAGGCUUUUGCCAAGAUGGCCUCAACUCCUGCCAGCUACGGAAACACUACCACUAAACCAAUGGGUCUCCUGUCCCGAGUCAUGAAUACAGGAUCACAGUUUGUGAUGGAAGGUGUGAAGAACCUGGUAUUGAAGCAGCAGAAUCUACCUGUUACUCGGAUUUUAGACAAUCUCAUGGAGAUGAAGUCAAACCCUGAAACUGAUGAUUAUAGAUAUUUUGAUCCCAAAAUGCUGCGGAGUAAUGACAGCUCCUUCCUCUACAAAACUGAAGAACCCCCUGCUUCCCAGGAAGGUGGACCUGGAAUACCUUCUUAAUGCUGCUCACAAGUGCACAUGAACGUGUGUCCCCAUACCCAUCUUACCCGUAAAAGAAGCCAAGGAUGAAAUUUUCAGUGCAGUUUCUCUUUAUUGCAGCUCAGUUCCUAGGAACAAAAGUCCAUUCCAAGAGGCCAUUGUCUUUGUGGUAGGAGGAGGCAACUAUAUUGAAUAUCAGAAUCUUGUUGACUACAUAAAGGUACAGUUGAGCCUUCUCAUUUCUGUCUCUUGGUGGUGUGAGUCAUGUCAUUAGAGAAUUAGCAUUGGCCAGUGCCUAUCCUGACCUCUGCAUAACUACUUUCUAAGAGGUGGUUUUUUUAAGUUAUACUUGUGAGCAAAACACACUAAAUCAUACAUGCCUAGAGUCCCAGCUACUUGGGAGGCCAAGGCAAGAGGAUCUUGAGCCCAGGAAUUCAGGGCCAGUCGAGGCCACUUGGCUAGAUUUCAUCUCUUAUAAAAAUAAUAUAAAUACAAAUACUGUAUAUAGAGAAAAUUACCAAUUUAUCAGUUUUUCUGUCAUAGUCAUGAUUCUACUAAAAUUGUACUGGAUUAAAAAUAAUAUUUCAUAAAUUAUUUGGGCAAUCUCUUGAUGCACUUUAAAUACUUAGAGACCUCAAGCUCUUCCAAGAUUUUUCUCCCUUAAGAUGAUUUAUAGAACUCAUUUAUCUAAAUAACACAUGCUUUAUUCAAUUAUAUUAACUUACAUCAGCAACAUACUUCUAAAAAGCAUUUAAGGUAGCAAAUUAGAAAUAGAAUCCUACUGUAAACCUUAGAGUGGUAGAAAACUAAAAAUACAUGAGGCACUAAGCCUAAUUUGAAGAUCAAAAUAAAAUAAAAUCUAUAGGGUGGAAAAUUGGCUAUUGUUAUAUAAUAGAGUGACAUUUUCUAACUAUUCAGUUGUUAGGUAUGAUUGUCAGUCUUUAUGCCCUCCUUACAUAGGCAUUAAUAUAAACUAUAGUGGAACAGGGGGACACAUUACUCCCAGGACUCUCACUUGAUUGCUUGCCCUCAGUCAUGCACCCUAAUGUACUCUUAAGAAUCUGUGCCAGGCAUACACAGCAGAGGACUGCCGGGUCUGGGUUCAGUCAGAGAAGAUGCACCUAACCCGCAAGAGACUGGAGGCCCCAGGGAGUUGGGAGGUCUGAUGGGUGGGAGGUGGGAGGGUGGGAACAGGGGGAUGGGGAGGAGGUAUGGGAUGGAGAAGAGUCAGAGGGUGGACCAGGAGGAGGAUAAAAUGAGGGAGGAAGGGAGGGAGGGAGGGAGAGAGAGAGAGAGAGAGAGAGAAUGAGAGAGAGAGAGAGAAA